rfam:Bacillus sp. B-jedd genome assembly, contig: CONTIG000001
UUCUUAUCAAGAGCAGGCGGAGGGACUAGCCCUAUGAAGCCCGGCAACCGACUUAUUUUAAGCACGGUGCUAAUUCUUGCAGCGAACAGCUGAUAGAUGAGAA